rnacentral:tRNA from 1 species
CGGGGCGUAGCGCAGCCAUGGUAGCGCACUUGCAUGGGGUGCAAGGGGUCGAGUGUUCGAAUCACUCCGUCCCGA